rnacentral:lncRNA from 1 species
AAACUGCAUGUGACAAAAUGAAAAUCCCCAUAUAAAACCUGAGAUGCAUAUCACAGGCCUUCUGUCAAUAACAUCUAGUUUUUGUCUAAGUGGAUUUAAAAGGAACAAGAUGCCUCUUCUUUAAGAAAAAAAUAAACUGCCUCAGUUAAAUAGGGAAAUAAAUAACUUCUGAAUGUUUCUCUAUUUCUUUUUCAUUCAGGUCAUGGUAUAGAAGCCUCAAAAGCCUAAUAAUAAGGGUUUGAAGUCUCUGAUGCACAGCUGGGAGGAAACCAGCAAUGAAUUCUAGGUUUCACCCCUUCUGGGUAGGUCAUGAAGCUGAUCUACCCACAUCAUCUACUCUUGAGGUGCUGUUGGGUGUCCUCCAAUGUUCAAAAGAAAGAGAGAAGCAGAAUGAACCCUUGUAAACUCCCCAGUGACUCUCUACACAGCCACCCAGUUUUCAGCAAAUCCAUCAUAAUCAUGAAGCCAAAGUGCAGGAAAUAUGGCUGGACACUGCAGGGGGAAAAGAAGAGUCUGACUUAA